UGUUGUUAGAACAAUAUCGGUGGUUCAACUAGACCAAGCAUUAGAAUAUGCAAGCUAAUGAGGAUAAAGAAUGGUUGUGAGUCGAAAUUCAGAAAUAAAGUUAAAUGGAAAAGGUUUCACUAUGCACCCCACGAUACAAAGGCAGAUUAUUUUGCAGAUAAACCCAAUGCGUUAAACGAGGGGGAGUUGAAGGAUCUUGUGAAAUUUUGGGUUAGUGAAGAGCAUCAGGUACUUUCCGAUGGCAAUGUCAAAGAGUAGAAACCGUUUUGUUUUUGUAAGGUAUUUUCCGAUGGCAAUGUCAAAGAGUAGAAGCCUCACACAGUGUGCAGCAAAAACUAUUCGACGCAAAGAUGAAGUGGAUACACAAGUUGGUGGUUACAGUCACCUUUCUCUUUGCAAUUUUAAAGUAUAUUUCUCAUAUUUGGAUUCGACUAUUCAUGGUUGAGGUACAUUUCUCAUAUGUGUCUAUGUACAAGUACAACUAGUAGAUAGGAGUUAGUUAGGUCUAAAUUGAAGUAUAAAGUUUCUCUACUUUUAAGGUCAACUUUAAAGUCGGAGAUUCUGUAAGUUAAUUUGUUUCUUUUCUUAUGGUGA